AUUGAACGCUGGCGGCAGGCUUAACACAUGCAAGUCGAGCGAGCGGCGGACGGGUGAGUAAUGUCUGGGAAACUGCCUGAUGGAGGGGGAUAACUACUGGAAACGGUAGAUAAUACCGCAUACCAUCAGAUGUGCCCAGAUGGGAUUAGCUAGUAGGUGGGGUAAUGGCUCACCUAGGCGACGAUCCCUAGCUGGUUUGAGAGGUUGACCAGCCAAACGGGAACUGAGACACGGUCCAGACUCCGAGGGGAUGCAGCAGUGGGGAAUAUUGCACAAUGGGCGCAAGCCUGAUGAGGCAAUGCCGCGUGUAUGAAGAAGGCCUUCGGGUUGUAAAGUACGUUCAGCGAGGAGGCGUUACUCGCAGAAGAAGCACCGGCUAACUCCGUGCCAGCAGCCGCGGUAAUAC
rnacentral:rRNA from 1 species